rnacentral:tRNA from 1 species
GAUACUGCAUCUCAGUGCUAGAGGAAACCCUACAGACCCUGGUUCGAUUCCAGGCAGUAUCA